CUCCUUGGGCGCACCUGUGUGUCUUCCAGGGCGACACUGGCUUUGGCAAUGAUACGACUAGGGGCUCUGGGUCAGCGGUCACCGGGAGUGCGACUUCCGGCUGCUAAAUCAGGCGAGCGGGUGGGGCAGCCGCGAAUCAGCUGACAGACCCAGGACAUGCAUCCCUAAUCGAUCACUGCACACCUUCUGGCUCAGUCCAACUCAGAAUCCUUCUCAGCACCGUUCCACACAGUCGCUGCCAGGUAAUCAGGCUAUCAGAGAACUCACCAGAACUUUCUGGAACUGUUGGGGCUGAGAGCAUCCUUCUCAUUCUGUUCCUCCUCUCAUCACUACACUCUGGAUGUCUUUGUUUCUUAUCUUCACCGUGGACCUCAGCAUUGAUUGGACAAGGGAGAAAGUGAAGCCAUAAAGAGAAGUCUUGGAGCUCACUGGGCCCCUGGGGAGGAAGGGGGUGGGCAGGUCUCAUUCUAUUUGUACAGGUGCAUUGUAAUGCUGCCUGUGGUGUGAACAUUUUCCACUUCAUUACUCCUGGCCCUGGCCCAGGCCCCGGCUGCUCCCCUGGUCCCUGCCUUGGUUUAAUUUCAGCGGUUCCUGGCCUUUGGAAGGCAGCAGUAACAGAAAGGAAAACAGAUGAGGUCGCCAUAAACAUUUCUGCACGUUGCCCAACCAGGGCAGAUGGAUACACUCGUGCAGCAGGAGCGGGGCUGGCUUGGCUGAGGCCACCGGUACCCCCACAAAAACACCUCAAUCCCCAACGGCUUCUGUCUGCUGAGGCCAAUCUUUCUAACUAGACUUGGUUUAAUGUAUAAGCAUGGGUCAUAACAGAUACCCACAGUUCCAGGACACAGUCAGCACAGUCUAUAAAAGAUGGUCGAACUGAAUAAAUAAAUAAUAGCUAACAUGUAUUGAGUACUUACUAUGUGCUAGAUGCUGCUCCAAGCACUUGAGAUGGAUUCUAGGGUGAGGUAUAUGCUCUUAUUAUUCUUAUUUUGCAGGUGAAGAAACUGAGGCACACAGCAUGGUCUGUAAGCAGUGGAGCCAAGAUUUUGUCCUUGAUGGUCUGACUUUAGACUCUGCAUGUUUAACUACUAUGCGGUCUUGCCUGCUGAAACAAGACAUUCUACAUGUUUCUAUUCUGAUGUUGUCCACAGGAGGGGGAAAAAAGCUCUACAGAACUCUAAGAAAACCAUCCAGCUUAUGUCUGAUUGUCAAGACAAAAAUGAUGUCAUUCAGGAGAGCCCUGCAAGGCUGCAGCAGAGACAAUGCGAGUUACCACUCACUGAGCACCGGUGCUGUGAGACCCCAGGGGCACCGUCAUUCCCUCUCCUCAAGGGAAUUGUUUGCAGAUAAGUCAAGUAAGAAGACACUCCAUGGGGAGAAUUGCCUCUUCACUUUUAAGUACAGGGCAUUAGAGGAGCACCUACCAAGGGCAUUUAAAAUUCAUCUCAACCAGUACUAGCUCCUUCAGUAGCCCCCAGCCCCCUGUGGCUAUUGAACACUUAAAUUGUGCCUGGUCUGAAUUGAGAUAUUUUGCAAAUACUGGAUUUUGCAACACACUGGAUUUCAGAGUCUUAGUAUGAAAAAUAAUAAGUAAAAUAUCUCGUUAGCAAUUUAAAUUGAUUAUAUGUUGAAAUGAUAUUUUGGAUAUAUUAAGUUGAAUAGAAUACAUUAUCAAAAUUAAUCUAUCAUGUUUUUCACCAUGUCAUUUAAGCUGCCCACAACCUUAUGAGGUAGAUAUUUUAUUCUUGUUUCCAUUAACUGAUAGAGAAUGGGCUUAUGAUGA